GGAUUUGAUCCCGGGUCUCCAGGAUCACGCCCUGAGCCAAAGGCAGGCGCCAAAGCGCUGCGCCACCCAGGGAUCCCCAGAUUACAUUCCUAAUGGAGAAUAUUUGUGGAAAAUAUUUGCCCCCAUUUGUACGUUGAAAUUUUAACACCCAAAGUUGAUUGUCUCAGGAGGUGGAGCUUUCGGAGGUGCUUGGGUCACCGAGGUGGAGCCUUCAUGAAGAGACCCCACAGAGCUUCCCAGCUCUUUCCUCUAAGCGAGGAUACCCCAACUCUGAGCCAGAAGAGAUUCUAGAACAUGACCAUGCUGCUGCCUUGCUCUUGAACUUCCCAGCUUCCAGAAUUGUGAGCAGUAAGGUUUUGUUGUUUAUAAGCUACCCAGUCUGUGCUUUUUCGUUAUAGCAGCACAAACUGAGACAAUAUCAAAUGGAUUAGAUCAAAUAAUUAUUCUUUCUUUUGGUGGCACAUGACCGACUCCUUGUCAGUUUCUAGGAGAUUAUUUCAUCAGGACUUUGCUGAUACCACAGUCUUUGGCAUGACUUACCAGCUCAUUGCUGAUCCCAGGAAAAGACUGAGUGCCUACAAAUGAACAGGUCACAGAUCUUCUGCCCUAUGGGAAGACAGGCAGGUGGUUAUCAUGGACCCACCUCUUGGAAAGAAUCAUCUAGGAAGAGGAAGAAGGUGAAGACUUUGAAAAGGAUUGAAUCUCUCAUUACUAAAAUAAUAUGGCACUCCACAUACACAGAUGCUGGCAUGUAAGGAACAGAGGUACUAUUUGUCUUACUGGAUCAUAAUUUAGAUAUUUGACUUAUGUAGAGAAGCCUUGUAUUGUACCCAAUAUGUAUUAUAUAAAGUUACCCCUGACACUAAUCCUCAAAAACUGGAUAAAUGGAACUGUGCUCUGGAAAUGCUCUGACAAAAUGGCUCCCUAGGAGAUCUCCCAGGAAGAUAAGAGAACACUUUACCAUAUACCAAAGAAAUAGUAUAUUAUAUGUAAACAUACAUACCUAAAUUUUCAUAUAGAGGUUUCACUGUUUUCAGAAUUUUCUUGGAUUCAUCAUGAAUAUAAUGUUUAUUUAUAUCUCUUCCUUCCUGUUUUUAUUCUUAAUCCAUCUCUAAAAUAAAUUUGGCACUUUUCUGAAUUAAAGAUUUUUA
rnacentral:lncRNA from 1 species